AUGAAUGGUAAUUGAUCACAAUGCAUGAUUAGGGUGCUGCUCUGGUCUCCAUUGGAGCUCAGGACUUGAAGUCCCAAACACUCGUCCUCAAUUCAGGUCACAGCAGCUUGUGAGAGGACGAAGAAUGGGAAUAAAAGGCCUUUUGCCCCUUUUCAAGUCGAUAAUGGCGCCCAUCCGCAUCAACGACUUAGAGGGCUGUCGUGUUGCCGUUGAUGCUUACUCUUGGCUCCACAAAUGCGCUUUGGCUUGCAGUAGUGAGCUUUGCAAAGGAUUACCCACCUCCAGAAAGGAACGUAGUAGCUGAGAUGGAAUUUUAAAGAGGGAUGAAGUAUUCACACAUUUGCAUGGAUGUGGUACUGAAUAUACAAAAAUUAGAGCUAAUGGCUUUGCAUCUCUGGAAGCAAAGAGAGAUUUCUGGGCUCCUCGAAUAUCACCUAUAAAUUCAAGUCCAGUAGAUAAAUCGUCUCUCAGUCCCAAGGAAUAUUGCAGUGCAGAGGCGCAUCUAGUUGCAUGCACUGCACUUCAGAAUCCCCACUUGACUCUGAAAAUGGGGGAAGCACCCCACCUGAUGACACAGUGAGUAAUAAUGCCAUAACUUAUGAUAACUUUCAGUUAUUACUUGGUUGAAGUCUUCUUGCCUUGUACAAUUUGUAAAAUUCCUCUUGUUUGCUGCUGAAGUUCUUUUAUUUUCAUUCUCUCCAACUUUGGGUAAGGAUAUAGCAUCUUCAAACAGGUCUGCAAAUUCAAUUGUGAGUUAUGUUAGUUAGACUACUCACCUAAUUGUAUAUUUAUGACACCAAAGGCAUGACCAAUGAGAAAGGAAGUUUGGAAGACACCUUGCUCCAACAAUUCAGACAUUUAAUGCAUAAAACUUGUCAAGCAUUACUAAAGGAGUGUGAUUGUUAGAAUGUUCAAAUGCCAAAUGCAGUUGAAGACAAAAGAAACAGAUAGCAGAAAGGUCAUAGUAUGGAGUUCUUAUUUUAUGCACAAAUCAACAAAAAAGAGUCCUGAAAAUGAUAAACAAGAAAAGCUCUUAGUCGAGAAUGAUUUUGCCAGUGAUCCAUGUGAUAAUGUCAUUCUUAAAAGUUUUUACAAGACAAAAACAGCAAACAACAAGGUUGUUGUAAGGAGCUCUUAUUUUCAGUACAAGUCAGUGAACAAGAAUGAUCAAGUGAAUGAACGGGGAAGGCUCUUAUCAUUAUUUAAAAUGCUUCUUCAGAGAAUAAUAGCAUCACCAUGUAACGAAAGACAUGCCCAAUUGAAACUGUUCAAAGACUUCCGUUGAAUAUGAAACUCAAGCACGUGUGAACAUUCAUCUCUUUCUGAGAAUGGUUACUGUCCUCCUAAUCUUGAGGAAAAAUAUACGGGACAAAGAAAGAAGGAAAGUUUGGGUCUAACAUUUCACACAUAGAUCAUUAUUCUGACAUAGCGGAGAAAUCAAUGGAGAGAUUUGUUUCAGUCAUAUCAUAAUUAGGAUUCUCCGCAUCUGGUUCUCGUGCUAGUGGUCUUCGUGCCCCUCUAAAAGAUAUUUGAAACAGGUGCCAACUGCUUGUAACAUAUGCUCAUCUACAUCCAUAACUUGGUCUCUAUUGACUUUAGGUUAAGUGGUAGUGUGGACUUUAGCCAUUUUGCUUAUACACACCAACCAACAAGAGGAGUCAGAAGACUGGACUAGCACUGCACAGAUGCUGAAUUUGUAAGAACAUGGAAUGGAGAAUGUAUAUUGGCUGAGAGUCCUAACUCAUUUCAAUAGCAGGAACUUUGGAUUC